rnacentral:rRNA from 1 species
GACGAACGCUGGCGGCGUGCUUAACACAUGCAAGUCGAACGGAAAGGCCCUGCUUUUGUGGGGUGCUCGAGUGGCGAACGGGUGAGUAACACGUGAGUAACCUGCCCUUGACUUUGGGAUAACUUCAGGAAACUGGGGCUAAUACCGGAUAGGAGCUCCUGCUGCAUGGUGGGGGUUGGAAAGUUUCGGCGGUUGGGGAUGGACUCGCGGGUUAUCAGCUUGCUGGUGGGGUAGUGGCUUACCAAGGCUUUGACGGGUAGCCGGCCUGAGAGGGUGACCGGCCACAUUGGGACUGAGAUACGGCCCAGACUCCUACGGGAGGCAGCAGUGGGGAAUAUUGCACAAUGGGCGGAAGCCUGAUGCAGCAACGCCGCGUGCGGGAUGACGGCCUUCGGGUUGUAAACCGCUUUCGCCUGUGACGAAGCGUGAGUGACGGUAAUGGGUAAAGAAGCACCGGCUAACUACGUG